rnacentral:rRNA from 1 species
UACGUAGGGGGCAAGCGUUGUCCGGAAUCAUUGGGCGUAAAGAGCGUGUAGGCGGCUUGGCAAGUCUCGCGUGAAAUCCUGCGGCUCAACCGCAGGCGGUCGCGGGAAACUGCCUCGCUAGAGUCCGGAAGAGGAGAGUGGAAUUCCUGGUGUAGCGGUGGAAUGCGCAGAUAUCAGGAAGAACACCCGUGGCGAAGGCGGCUCUCUGGGACGGUACUGACGCUGAGACGCGAAAGCGUGGGGAGCGAACAGGG